UAGGGAAUCUUCCACAAUGGACGAAAGUCUGAUGGAGCAACGCCGCGCGAGUGAAGAAGGGUUUCGGCUCGUAAAACUCUGUUGUUAAAGAAGAACAUAUCUGAGAGUAACUGUUCAGGUAUUGACGGUAUUUAACCAGAAAGCCACGGCUAACUACGUGCCAG
rnacentral:rRNA from 1 species